AGAAAUCUCGUGUGGAACAA
rnacentral:snRNA from 1 species